CUCAUAGUGUUACAGAGAAAACCCAACAAACCCCCUUGAGCAGCACUUGGCAACAGUGAGGAGGACAAACUCCAUUUAAGAGAGGAAACUCAACACAUUUGAGGCUGUGAAGUGCAGGAAAAAUGACGUUUGUCUGCACAUCGUUCUGCUGCUGGCUGGGUUUUGGGUCAGGACAGAAUUCUAGUCUAUAUCUGCUUUGACUGUUUUUCUGACUGCACUCAGCUCAGAUCUGCAAAGGAUCAUGCUUCACCACCAGGGGCCCACAGACUGAUUGUGUGUGUCAAGGGCUGAGUCUGCCAUUUCUUCUGUUGAUUAAUGAAUUAAUCAUUUGGUCUGUUGAAUGUCAGAUUACAGGGCCGUGUUCCCUCAGAGUUUCUUAGAGCAGAUGUCAUUGGUCUCUUCAUAAGCAGGGUAAUAAAAAACAAAUUAAAAGUUGAUAUUAUAAUAAUCUUACAAAAAUGUUAUCAUAAAGGUUAUUACAUUGUGUGCCAUUUAUUACAUUAAGUAUUUUGUUAAUCCUGACUUAACUUUAUUUAACCCUUAACUGGGUUUUGUAUCUUAGAGGAUACUAGCAUGUGAUUGGGUCUAGGGGUGUUACAGGAAGUUUAGUUACUUAAAUCAAAAUGAAACACUUAAGUCAAAUUAUUUUGGUCAGUUGAGCUGAUGUGCAAACUCUGGGAUGGAUUUAUAAUCCUGCUCAAAAGUCAAGAUGGCCGCUCACAGAGGGACAAUCCCAGAUCCUAAGGUAAGUGCUAAUAUUAUUUACAUAUUUAAUACAUUUUCAAGUGAUUAUUUAUGUGGAAUGAAGUGUUAAUGUUGACAAAAAUCAUAAUUUAAAUGAUUGUUUUCAUGUCUGUCUCCUGCGGGUUAAAAUGGGUCAACACAACAUUCAGACCUGCCUCCAGGAGUGCACACUGUCACUUCUCUAACAUCUUUCACACAAUGUAAACAACUGUAAGUCCUGUUGGAGCUACCGUUUGGCAUUUUGCUUGAAAAGGCAUAAAACAGUUGAAUGUUUGGUGAGAACUUGUUGUGUUGUUGACCUGUGACUCGGCAGCACGGUGCCGUACCUUCAGCAGCUCCAUUCAGCCCUCAGUGUGCUGUCUGAAUGUGGCCGCUGGCCUCUUUCUCUCAUCUUCAGACAUUGAGUCGUGCAUGUUGGGUUUGGACAGUUUUCCAUGGAUACAUGUUGAACCAUAAAGACUUCGGCUGUGUCUUCUUGUUCUCUGCAUCAGGACCCCACUGUACCAACAAGCUGGUUUCCCUAAAGUGAAGGAGGAAGCCACACGUUCUGGCAGAGACCAAGUGUGUAUGAUACUUGCAUCACAAACAUGCAACACAGAGACCUACAGCACUGGUCAGAACAGCUGUGUACGUCUCAACUCUAAUUGCUUUCCUCCACAGAUGUGAACAUACACAAAAGCUGCAUUUUAGAUGACAACAGUUUGUCGUUGCCUUCUGUGACUUGACUCAGUGGGCAAAGUUAAUUAUAGUUCCAUCACACAGACUCCGGCGCAGCCUGGAAGCCUGGAGUGGUUUAGUCUUCACCCACCAGGCGGCUGUGCACUUCCUCAGAGUUAAAGCCGUAUGACUGCUGGUAUCGCCACAAGUCAUACAACAGUUAUUAGAAAAGUUAAGCCAACGGGAGGACGUGUGCUUGUGAGCCAACUUUGAAACAUACAAAGUAUCAUCACCCUGUAUGUCCUGUCUAACUCCUGCCAUGUUCAUUAAGCUUUCACACUCGUUUUUGCUUUAUGUUUGAGCUGUUAAAGGUCAGCGGUGAAGGUGACAGGAGGAGAGAGCCUGCCACGCUGCUCCGACAACGUCGUCCACCUCAUCACCUGGCGGCCCCAUCUGAGAGUCACUGAGCUACAGAGGCAGGGUGGUGACGGGGAGUUUCCUGUGUGGAGAAGCUGCCAGUGGAAACUAAGACUGUGGGCAUCCCGGCAGGCCACAGAACCCAGGACAAGAAUGUGGGACUAGCAGAGCUUAAAUAGUCUCGUGCGUGUCGAGAAGGACCGACAGCGUUCCGGGCCCCUCUCACUCCGAGAUAUGGACAUCAACAGCAAGUUGAUCAGGUUCUGAUCCUCUAAAUGGCCAGAAGCAAGGCAUCCAUGGCUCUGGAGUUCUUCCUUGAUGCUGCAAAGAAACCUGACUUUACAUCCAGUUUGCUCUGAAGGAGUCCCUGAUGGCCAAGAGACCAGAGGCCAGGAGGUGUCCGCUCACUUUGCUGUGCCACUCCGGCGACCGAUCCCUGGAAGAGCAAACACAGAUGGGAAUGUUCAGCGAGAGCAGAUGUGUGUCAGCCGGGUCUUCCUGGCUCCUGUUUGCUCCAGCAGGUAGAGGCAGGGGGGGGC